rnacentral:rRNA from 1 species
CGUGGCGGACGGGUGAGUAACGCGUGGGUAACCUGCCCUGUACAGGGGGACAACAGCCGGAAACGGCUGCUAAUACCGCAUAAGCCCGCGGCGCCGCAUGGCGCUGCGGGGAAAACUCCGGUGGUACAGGAUGGGCCCGCGUCUGAUUAGCUAGUUGGCGGGGUAACGGCCCACCAAGGCAGUGAUCAGUAGCCGGCUUGAGAGAGUGGACGGCCACAUUGGGACUGAGACACGGCCCAGACUCCUACGGGAGGCAGCAG